rnacentral:rRNA from 17 species
UGGCGGCACUAGCGCGGUGGUCCCACCUGACCCCAUGCCGAACUCAGAAGUGAAACGCCGUAGCGCCGAUGGUAGUGUGGGGUCUCCCCAUGUGAGAGUAGGGAACUGCCA